AGAAGGAGUUGUUUAGUAGUCCUCACCAUUUUUGUAAAAUAAUAUAUAAAUAAUUGUGAUGAGGAUUUAUUUAGGUAUGUAUAUUGUCUAGAAGACAAUAAUUGUAUUUAAACUCACAGUAUAUAUAUUGUCGUAUUUUGCACGACAAAUGUAUUAAUAAAGUUGUAGUAAUUUCUGUACCAUGUAUUUGGCGACUCAGAAUGGGUUGGAUGGAAUGGACCUAUUUUGGGGGCGUCACAUAAGAGCUCUUAGUCCUUUCGGCAUAAAGGCUCUCUUGAUUUCAUUCAUAUAAUGGAUUGGCUCCGUAUUUCACUUGAUUCAACAAUGUCGGUCAUGAUCCAAAUCGAUCCUUUUCUUUUUUUUGUAAUUGUAUUAAAUUAUGAAUAACCAAGUACAUAACCUAGGUUAUCUUCCAUGUGAUUGGUUUUAUUAGAUAUCAGAUAAUUUAAUAAUAGAU
rnacentral:lncRNA from 1 species